rnacentral:rRNA from 1 species
UACGGGAGGCAGCAGUGGGGAAUAUUGCACAAUGGGCGCAAGCCUGAUGCAGCCAUGCCGCGUGUAUGAAAAAGGCCUUCGGGUUGUAAAGUACUUUUCAGUCGUGAGGAAGGUGUUAAGGUUAAUAACCUUAGCAAUUGACGUUAGCGACAGAAGAAGCACCGGCUAACUCCGUGUCAGCAGCCGCGGUAAUACGGAGGGUGCGAGCGUUAAUCGGAAUUACUGGGCGUAAAGGGCACGCAGGCGGUUAAUUAAGUUGGAUGUGAAAUCCCCGGGCUUAACCUGGGAAUGGCAUUCAAGACUGGUUAGCUAGAGUCUUGUAGAGGGGGUAGAAUUCCAUGUGUAGCGGUGAAAUGCGUAGAGAUGUGGAGGAAUACCGGUGGCGAAGGCGGCCCCUGGGACAAAGGCUGACGCUCAUGUGCGAAAGCGUGGGGAGCAAACAGGGAUUAGAUACC